rnacentral:misc_RNA from 1 species
GUUACUUACCUGGUGAUAAGUUGAUGAACUCUGGGCCACUGACCCCUUGAUCUCAGUAUUCUGACCGUUCCCAGAAGCGACGAUCUGUGCGACGGUGAGACCUCCAUAGCUUUGAGGUAGUACUUGAGAGAGGGUAGCCAUUUGCCUGAAGAGACAGACGACGAUUUGGCUUUAGUUAUCGGUGAAAAAGCGGUUAUCAGCGAUUUGCGAACGAAGUUGUUCCAUCAGACCUUCGAAUUCCACGAUCCGUAACACACUUCAUAAGCCGAGUAAUCCG